CAAGUCGAACGGGGUUAUAAUUGUAGUAAUACAAUUAUAGCUUAGUGGCGAACGGGUGCGUAACACGUGAGCAAUCUGCCGGGAAGUGUGGGAUAGCUCGCCGAAAGGCGAAUUAAUACCGCAUGUGGCUAGGGGUGACAUCACUCCGAAGCCAAAGUCGCAAGACGCUUCCUGAUGAGCUCGCGGCCUAUCAGCUAGUUGGUGAGGUAACGGCUCACCAAGGCAAUGACGGGUAGCUGGUCUGAGAGGACGACCAGCCACACUGGAACUGAGACACGGUCCAGACACCUACGGGUGGCAGCAGUCGAGAAUUUUUCACAAUGGGGGAAACCCUGAUGGAGCGACGCCGCGUGGAGGACGAAGGUCUUCGGAUUGUAAACUCCUGUCAUGCGGGAACAAGAAAGUGAUAGUACUGCAAGAGGAAGAGACGGCUAACUCUGUGCCAGCAGCCGCGGUAAUACAGAGGUCUCAAGCGUUGUUCGGAUUCAUUGGGCGUAAAGGGUGCGUAGGUGGCGUGGAAAGUUGAGUGUGAAAUCCUAGGGCUUAACCUUAGAACUGCACUCAAUACCCCCAUGCUAGAGGAAUGUAGAGGAGAGUGGAAUUCACGGUGUAGCAGUGAAAUGCGUAGAUAUCGUGAGGAAGACCAGUUGCGAAGGCGACUCUCUGGGCAUCUCCUGACACUGAGGCACGAAGGCUAGGGGAGCAAACGGGAUUAGAUACCCCGGUAGUCCUAGCAGUAAACGGUGCACGUUUGGUGUGGGCAGGCUCAGACCCUGUCCGUGCCGGAGCUAACGCGUUAAACGUGCCGCCUGGGAAGUACGGUCGCAAGAUUAAAACUCAAAGAAAUUGACGG
rnacentral:rRNA from 1 species